GACGAACGCUGGCGGCAUGCCUAACACAUGCAAGUCGAACGAAACCUUCGGGCUUUUUGGCGCACGGCUGCGGAACGCCGGGGGAGUUACACGUGGGUUAGGAGUACCUGACUGUAGGGGAAGCUCAUACCGCAGGAUGUCUUCGCACCUAAGAGUUAUGGCGUUUGGAUGGGCGCGCGUUAGAUUCGUCGGUUGGUAGGGUACAAGCCUGGCAAGGCCACGUUCCAUAGCUGGUCUGAGAGGAGGAUCAGCGACACUGGGACUAGGACACGGCCCAGACUCGUACGGAAGGCAGCAGUGGGGAAUAUUGGACGAUGGGCGAAAGCCUGAUCCAGCAAUGCCGGGUAAGUGAUGAAGGCCUUAGGGUUGUAAAGCUCUUUUACCCGGGAUGAUAAUGACAGUACCGGGAGAAGAAGCUCCGGCUAACUCCGUG
rnacentral:rRNA from 1 species